UGUAAAUCAUAUUCCAACUCUACCAAACGAUGUAACCUUUGUAUAAAAGAUAAGUAUAUUUUAUUAUAUGUCAACCCGAAAUUUGAACUCUAAAUCAAAGGAACAAAUUAUUCAGUUCAUGUAGACAUUGACGCAAGUUCUUGUUACGGUAUACUACUUAAUCCUGUUGGCUUUCAUUUAUCCAUCUAAACAAUAGAGACUUAAUCACUUGGUAAUUAACAUACUUUUGUUCUGAUAAACUGUCACAAUCUAUGUACUUCAUUAUUCCUUCACUCAGAGCCUAGCGCAACCAAAAUGGGUGGGAUAAUGAGGGAAGAAUAAUGUAGCGAAAUUUUGAGCCAAUCAUAAGUCAUUACAAGACGUUCCUGUUUUUGUUGGACUACUGCUUUGAGCAUUGGUCUUCGAGCAUCGUUUUAUCCAUCAUGGUUAAACAGUGGUCUGUUAAACGGUCGCACAGAAGACUCACGAACAAGGUAGGGAUGUGUAUUGUUGUGUAUGAGUUAUUUAAUAAAGUGCAACUUUCGGCACGUUCGCAAAUGUACUGUAUUUUGUUAGAAACAUUAAUGAAGAAAGUUAGAACAAUAAUAAUAACAACAAUUAAUAAUAUUGCUCUCAAUAUCAUUACUACUGUAUUAUUAUUUAUGUAAUUAACAGUACUGUCAUUAAUUCUGUUAUUGCUAAACUAAUAUUUUUAAUGUUAAUGAUAUAAGUAUUGUCAUUGUCAAUCAUACUAAGUAGUAUGCGAAUACAGCAAAGAAUAUUAGCUAAGACUACUACAUAUCACAACAAUAUAAAUUCUAACAAAAUCUUUUCAACCGUUCAAAAUCAGGCAGUCAAUCUGACAGUAAUUGUAUAGUACCAGGGUAUGCACUUCCUACCCAAAAAAAAAAAAUAUAA